UUGGGGGAGGCAUAGAUGAGUAAGAUAACUUUACAGGUAUUAGACUUGUUGAGAGGUGACUAAAACAAAUCUCUACAGGCUAGGCGCAAAACGGGCAAUAUCAUGCUAUCUUAUCCUUCUACCAGAAGGGAAACUGCAAUUGGAUGCCGAGAAUUACUCUGCUGAAUAUGUCAGCGUUGUUAUCAAUUUAGAAUAUCUGGUUUCCAGCGGUUUCUAUUUAUGGUGCUGAAUGAUUCGAGAGGGAAGCAAAUUCCUAUCAGGAGUUAAUAUUUUGUGUAAAUAAUAUUCGAUAUACUUGAACCGGAAGGGUAUCCACUUUUUACAAAUGGGAAAGUUUGUGUUUUCUUAAAGUUAGGUGUUGAUUUCCAUCUUCUGUAAUGAAUGUAUCUCAUGUAUGAGUAUAGCGACGAAUGUUCUGUGCCAGACUUUAGCUUUACUACUGUAUUUUUUUUUGCAAUUGAUCAUCUCACGAAUUUCAGACUACUGUGUCAGGGAUGCUAUGAAAAGUUCAUUAAUUAUUAGACAACAUGUUGAGCCUAAACAAGUAAUCAUAGUACAAGGAACAAGAGAUUAGAACAACAAGGCUAGAUAUCCUCAUGAAAAUAGUAGCAAUAAGAGAUUGCAGCAAUGAACAUUGAAUGGCCAAAUACGUCUUUUUAGGUUCAUAUAUAAUCACUUAUUUUCUAUACUUGUUGUAUGAAAUUAGAAUUGAUUGGCUCUCUGCUUUCUUCAGAAAUUCAACUAUUCAAGUGUCUUGUUCUUUCUAGAUUGUUAUGCAAACCUAGGUAACUGAUAUGCAAACCUGUGAUACUUUCUUCUUGAUCAGUAGAGAAAGAUAUGUUAUUUGAAGUUCCUCUUUCAGAAAUCAUGUAGAAACUUUCUGUUAUUUCUAGAUUGCUUAUACUUGUUUUGAAUUUCAUUGCUUAAUCACUUUUUUCAGUAUAAGAGAAAGAGGUGGAGUAUCCGAAUGUUAUAUAUAAACUAGCAAUGUGGGCUUAGGCUAAGCUUUUGAUAGGGGAUGCAGAUAUAUUAAAAGUUUGCUGGAUAGCAAGCUUUGCGACGUUUGCAAUUUUAUGCUGGAAAGAAAGAGAGAUGAAGGUACUCCAACAUCACAACAUGUCACUCCGAGGAAAAAUUAAAGAGUUUGGUUUUCCGCCCUAACAUGUGUUUUAGAGGUCUCAGGUCCUCUGUCUUAUUUUGGACUAGCUUUUGCCUGUUACACGGAGCUUGAUCCAAAUAAUCAUCCCACAAAAAAAAAAUUGGAAAACGAGAGAUGAACCUGAUGUAGAUGCAAAUCCCGCAGAAGGGGAACGGAGGGAUGUAAUUUUGAAUAAUCGGUCUAUAAAUGCAAUUGCAGCAAAAGCGAUACUCAUACAUCUGGAUUAUGAAUAUGUUGCAGCUGCCAAUGCACAAAAAGUGGCAGUACACAGGGAUGAUGUAGGGAGUCAAUUGUUGUUGCAUAUCCAGCAGGAGUGGCAUUACUGAUCGAUGAUGUGGAAAAUUAAUCAUAUGCAGAUGGGAAUCGACUAGAAGUGGCACUACAAAUGGACGCUGAGAAUCACUGUUGCAGACGAGGUAAUACAGAUUGAUGAUGCGGAAAAUAUACUACAAAUGGAUGCUGAGAAUCUCUUUGCUGCAUAAGUGAGCGUUGGUACAAAUUCAGAAUAUCUGGUUCCAGCAGUCUCAUUAAUGCACAUGCUAUAUGACCCGAGUUCUGGCUAUUCAGAGUAAAUAUUUUUGCACCACAACAAUUAGAAGAAGGGUAUUUGUUUAUAUGAUUUUUUUGAAAUUCUGUCUGAAUAUACAUCUAUUUUCUACCCUGUUUGAUACAAGUUGAGGAUCCUACACCGCUACACGGCUCAAAGUUGGUAGAUUUUGAAUGCUCUCGCUACUGUAAUUUUUGUGCGAGUAUCUUACAAAAUUCAGACUCCUCUCUCUGUCAAGGAGGCGAUGAAAAGUUCUCAAAUUACUAGAUUAUAC
rnacentral:lncRNA from 1 species